AGAAUAUGGGUUAGUGUUAGGAUAUGGCUUAGGAUUAGGGUACUGGUUAGGGUUAGGGUUAGGGUUAGGGAUAGGCUUCAGGUAUGGGUACGGUUUAGGGUACACGUUA